CUAGAAUGUCCUGGUUUUCCCCUUUUCAUGUAUGAUGUACGUACUAAACAGAAACAAUGAUUGGUUCUAUAGACCAUUUGCCAUCUUCUGGCUUCAGAGUGAUUGUUAAGUAAGGUAAAUAGAUAUGAGCAUAUAAAGAGUUUAAAAGAGGGCCGAAAGAUACCAGAGGGACAGAGAAGCUAAUAAAUAAAAAAAAUGACAACGCCAUGGCUAAAAAAACAGACAAACAGACACAAAUAAAAUAUAGAAAACUACAGGC
rnacentral:lncRNA from 1 species